rnacentral:rRNA from 1 species
UACGGAGGGAGCAAGCGUUACUCGGAAUUACUGGGCGUAAAGCGUGCGCAGGCGGUUCGCUAAGUCAGAUGUGAAAUCCCCGGGCUUAACCUGGGAACUGCAUUUGUGACUGGCGGGCUAGAGUAUGGCAGAGGGGGGUAGAAUUCCACGUGUAGCAGUGAAAUGCGUAGAGAUGUGGAGGAAUACCGAUGGCGAAGGCAGCCCCCUGGGCCAAUACUGACGCUCAUGCACGAAAGCGUGGGGAGCAAACAGG